GUUUGAUCCUGGCUCAGGAUGAACGCUGGCGAGAUGCUUUACACAUGCAAGUCGUACGAGAGUUUUCAACUCAAGUGGCGGACGGGUGAGUAACACGUAAGAAUUUGCCUUUAGGAGGGGGACAACAGUUGGAAACGACUGCUAAUACCCCAUAUGCUUUCGAGUGAAAUGGAUUUUUCCGCCUAGAGAGAAGCUUGCGGCUGAUUAGCUUGUUGGUGAGGUAAUGGCUCACCAAGGCGACGAUCAGUAUCUGGUUUGAGAGGACGAUCAGACACACUGGAACUGAGACACGGUCCAGACUCCUACGGGAGGCAGCAGUGGGGAAUUUUCCGCAAUGGGCGAAAGCCUGACGGAGCAAUCUCGCGUGAGGGAUGACGGCCUAUGGGUUGUAAACCUCUUUUUUCAGGGAGGAAUCAAUGACGUUACCUGAAGAAUAAGCAUCGGCUAACUCCGUGCCAGCAGCCGCGGUAAGACGGGGGAUGCAAGUGUUAUCCGGAAUCACUGGGCGUAAAGCGUCUGUAGGUGGUUUAAUAAGUCAAANAGGNAAAUCUUGAGGCUCAACCUCAAAACCCGCAGUCGAAACUAUUAGACUAGAGU
rnacentral:rRNA from 1 species